rnacentral:rRNA from 1 species
CAGUCGCCGCGGGAAUGCGUAGGUGGCAAGCGUUGUCCGGAAUUAUUGGGCGUAAAGGGCUCGCAGGCGGUUUCUUAAGUCUGAUGUGAAAGCCCCCGGCUCAACCGGGGAGGUUCAUUGGAGACUGGGAAACUUGAGUGCAGAAGAGGAGAGUGGAAUUCCACGUGUAGCGGUGAAAUGCGUAGAGAUGUGGAGGAACACCAGUGGCGAAGGCGACUCUCUGGUCUGUAACUGACGCUGAGGAGCGAAAGUGUGGGGAGCGAACAGGAUUAGAUACCCCCCGUAGUCCCUGUCUCUUAUU